UCUCCCGAAUCUCUCCUACCAACUCACGCAUGGUCUUCUCCUCCCUCUCCCCUCUCCGCGAAUCUCUCCUUCGAACUCCUCUCCGUCCAACCCCUCUUCCACAAACCCCUCUCCACGAAUCUGUCCUCCGAACACCUUCAAACAGUGAGAUUUUUUAGCACCAGUCGCGCCUUGCCUUGAAAGCCUUCACUGCCGCUCGAAGCGAGCAGUAGUACGAUGUCGAUCUCAACCUCUACGCGUCUCCACCUUGUCCAGGUGCGGAUCGUGGCAGGAGAUCGAUACAUUGGUUGCUGAUCUAAUGGAGGAGGGAUGACUCUCCACGGAGACCUCCAAGGGGGUUCCCUAAUGCCCGAUUGAUGGCGAGGAGGAGAGCUAAUCGGCGAGCCGAUCAACGGUGGCGUAGAAGGUCAAGAUUGGAUUUUACUUCGCCGCGUGGUGAGCGCUGAACAUGGUGUUCAACAUCUACAACAAGAAGGUUCUUAACGCCUUCCCCUACCAUUGGCUGACCUCCACACUCCCCCUUGUUGUUGGCUAGCUCCCUCAUGUUGUAGGUCAAGUUUGAUUUAACCUCUUCAAAGCACAUGUUGAAAUGACAAAAAAGAUUUGUGGCAAUGCAAAUGUCCGUUACGCAUGGCUUGCUUCCUCCAAGGAUGCGGUGGACGAGAUGAUGUCUCAUGGGCUUCUGAAGCAACCUGUGCAGAAAUGACUUUAUGGAAAUGGACUUCAUCUUGCCCUUACAAAUUGCUCUGAUACCUGGAACCUCUCAAUGAUUAUGUAGGAUGUUUAGUAGAAGAUCGAUGUUGAGGAAUUGCUAUACAUGAUCACAUGGCUAUGAAUUCUACAUAAGACAACACAAAAUCUUUGUACAAAGUGAGAGCAGAAAUGCGAAGUACAUUGUGUUGGUGCGGGUAGCACUAACGGUCUAACCCAGGUUUUGAUGAAUGACAAAUGGGUUAAGUUAGUUGUGUUGUUGUCUGACACUUUUAUCAAGUG